rnacentral:rRNA from 1 species
UCGGGAAUAUUGGACAAUGGGCGAAAGCCUGAUCCAGCCAUGCCGCGUGUGUGAAGAAGGUCUUCGGAUUGUAAAGCACUUUAAGUUGGGAGGAAGGGCAGUUACCUAAUACGUAUCUGUUUUGACGUUACCGACAGAAUAAGCACCGGCUAACUCUGUGCCAGCAGCCGCGGUAAUACAGAGGGUGCAAGCGUUAAUCGGAAUUACUGGGCGUAAAGCGCGCGUAGGUGGUUUGUUAAGUUGGAUGUGAAAUCCCCGGGCUCAACCUGGGAACUGCAUUCAAAACUGACAAGCUAGAGUAUGGUAGAGGGUGGUGGAAUUUCCUGUGUAGCGGUGAAAUGCGUAGAUAUAGGAAGGAACACCAGUGGCGAAGGCGACCACCUGGACUGAUACUGACACUGAGGUGCGAAAGCGUGGGGAGCAAACAGGAUUAGAUACCCAAGUAGUCCCUGAGCGGGCUGGCAAGGCGCAU